GGGCCUGUAGUUCAGCGGUUAGAGCCCUCCGCUCAUAACGGAGUUGUCGUAAGUUCGAAUCUUACCGGGCCCACCA
rnacentral:tRNA from 1 species